GCGGGCCUGGCAUCCUGUACCUGCCGCCCCUUCCUUAGCCACCUGGCGCAGGACAAUGAGGACUGUGUGGGCGCCAAGCAGGCUGCUGUAGUGCAGGUGUUGAAGAAGUUGGCCACCCGCAAGCUCACAGGGCCAAAGGUUGUAGAGCUGUGUCACUGUGUGGAUGAGACACAGGAGCCUGAGCUGGCCAGUCUCACUGCACAAAGCCUCCCCUAUCAACUGCCCUUCCACAAUUUCCCACUGACCUGCACCGACCUGGCCACCCUGACCAACAUUCUAGAGCACAGAGAGGCCCCCAUCCACCUGGAUUUUGAUGGCUGUCCCCUGGAGCCCCACUGCCCUGAGGCUCUGGUAGGCUGUGGGCAGAUAGAGAAUCUCAGCUUUAAGAGCAGGAAGUGUGGGGAUGCCUUUGCAGAAGCCCUCUCCAAGAGCUUGCCGACAAUGGGGAGGCUGCAGAUGCUGGGGUGAGCCAGACCUUGGAGCUGAGAAGGGUCUUCAGCUGGGGAUGCCUGGUACUCUCUUCCCUCUCCUUAAUCCUACACAAGGCAGAUUCCUGGCCUCGCCCUUUUCCCCUCCUCGUUCGUCCCCACCAUCUUUGCUUACUCUGUAGGUUAGCAGGAAGUAAGAUCACUGCCCGAGGCAUCAGCCACCUGGUGAAAGCUUUGCCUCUCUGUCCACAGCUGGAAGAAGUCAGUUUUCGGGACAACCAGCUCAGUGACCAGGUGGUGCUGAACAUCGUGGAGGUUCUCCCUCACCUACCACGGCUCCGGAAGCUUGACCUGAGCAGCAACAGUAUCUGCGUGUCAACCCUACUCUGCUUGGCAAGGGUGGCAGUCACUUGUCCUACCGUCAGGACGCUUCAGGCCAG
rnacentral:sRNA from 1 species